rnacentral:hammerhead_ribozyme from 1 species
GCACUGAGGAGUCCCACAAUAGGACGAAACGGCCGUCCAGUAC